rnacentral:rRNA from 1 species
ACGGUGAGUAAUGUCUGGGAAACUGCCCGAUGGAGGGGGAUAACUACUGGAAACGGUAGCUAAUACCGCAUAACGUCGCAAGACCAAAGAGGGGGACCUUCGGGCCUCUUGCCAUCGGAUGUGCCCAGAUGGGAUUAGCUAGUAGGUGGGGUAACGGCUCACCUAGGCGACGAUCCCUAGCUGGUCUGAGAGGAUGACCAGCCACACUGGAACUGAGACACGGUCCAGACUCCUACGGGAGGCAGCAGUGGGGAAUAUUGCACAAUGGGCGCAAGCCUGAUGCAGCCAUGCCGCGUGUAUGAAGAAGGCCUUCGGGUUGUAAAGUACUUUCAGCGAGGAGGAAGGUGUUGUGGUUAAUAACCACAGCAAUUGACGUUACUCGCAGAAGAAGCACCGUGCUAACUUCCUG